GGGGGGCAGAGAGGACGGAAUUCCUCCCAGAAUCCGCUUCCGGGGGGCAGAGAGGACGGAAUUCCUCCCAGAAUCCGCUUCCGGGAGGCAGAGAGGACGGAAUUUCUCCCAGAAUCUGCUGAAGAGUAAAGCAAUGAAGGCAUCGUUCUGAGACCUGCACCGGAAUACCACGCCGAGUCCUUGCUCGUGCCCACGAGUGCUUUGUGUUUCGCUGUGAUGUGUGUGCAGCCGUACAUGGGCCUGCUGAGGCUGAUACCGCAGUCAUUCUUUCCAAGAAAGCUUUCAUCUGCUGAAGGGUGACUACAAAGCUGAUAGCGAAGGUUGGUCUCAAAUUCCUGGGCUCAAGCCAUCCUCCACCUUGGCCUCCCAGAGUGCUGGGCUUACAGGGAUGAGCCACCGUACCUGCCUGCCCAGUGACUGUUAUGUCAAUCUCACCCCUGCUUCCCUGAGAGGUACGUCAAGAAGGGAGAGGCUCUUGACAGUCUGUGGAUGACAGCUCUAUAAUUUCAGCAUUGUUUUUAAUACAAUGUAAGUGCCAUACACAAACACACAGACACACACACACACACGUGGCUUUACUUUACAUCUGCUUUUGCAGAUAAUUGAUUUGUGUGUACUUGUCUCUGCUAGAGUUCAGUAAUUUGCCUCUGUUCCUUUUUUUUUAAUUUUUUUUCUGUUGUCCCCUCCCAGUUGUUCUAAAUCCUCGAUGGAAAAAAAAUGUGAAGCACUCCCACUAUGCUUUCUCUGAAGCCUCCUUUUUUUUUUUUUUUUUUUUUUUUUUUUUUUUUUGCAAGGAAGCCUGUCAUUCAAGGGAAAGUCAGGCUAAGCUGUUCAGCACGGCAAGUGUACAGGA
rnacentral:lncRNA from 1 species